UUUUUGGAGAGUUUGAUCCUGGCUCAGGACGAACGCUGGCGGCGUGCCUAAUACAUGCAAGUCGAGCGGAGUUGUGAGAGAGCUUGCUCUUGAUCAACUUAGCGGCGGACGGGUGAGUAACACGUAGGCAACCUGCCCCUUGGACUGGGAUAACUACCGGAAACGGUAGCUAAUACCGGAUAAGACCUUCUGGUGCAUACCGGAAGGCGGAAAGGCGG
rnacentral:rRNA from 1 species